AAACAGGAUUAGAUACCCGGGUAGUCCACGCCGUAAACGAUGGACACUCGUCCUUUGGUGGGAACCAUUCCUCGUGGGGGGCUCAGCUAACGCGGAAGUGUCCCGCCUGGGAACUACGAGCGCAAGCUUAAAACUCAAAGGAAUUGACGGGGGCCCGCACAAGCAGCGGAGCGUGUGGUUUAAUUCGACGCAACGCGCAGAACCUCACCCAGAUUUGACAUGCAGCUGCAAGCUGGUGAAAGCCAGUCGCCUUCGAGGGUGCUGCACAGGUGCUGCAUGGCUGUCGUCAGCUCGUGUUGUGAGAUGUUGGGUUAAGUCCCGCAACGAGCGCAACCCCCGCGGCUAGUUACUCGUGUCUAGCCGGACUGCCCGAUUGGGAGGAAGGUGGGGAUGACGU
rnacentral:rRNA from 1 species